CCUACGGGUGGCAGCAGUGAGGAAUAUUGGUCAAUGGCCGCGAGCCUGAACCAGCCAAGUCGCGUGAAGGAUGACUGCCCUAAGGGUUGUAAACUUCUUUUGUAAAGGGAUAAAAUGAGGCUCGUGUGCCUUUUUGUAUGUACUUUAUGAAUAAGCAUCGGCUAACUCCGUGCCAGCAGCCGCGGUAAUACGGAGGAUCCGAGCGUUAUCCGGAUUUAUUGGGUUUAAAGGGAGCGUAGGUGGGUUGUUAAGUCAGGUGUGAAAGUUUGCGGCUCAACCGUAAAAUUGCAAUUGAUACUGGCAGUCUUGAGUACAGGUGAGGUAGGCGGAAUGCGUAGUGUAGCGGUGAAAUGCUUAGAUAUUACGAAGAACUCCGAUUGCGAAGGCAGCUUACUAAACUGCCACUGACACUGAGGCUCGAAAGUGUGGGUAUCAAACAGGAUUAGAUACCCGGGUAGUC
rnacentral:rRNA from 1 species